GGGGGGGGGGGGGGGUGGGGGGGGCGGGUGGGGGGCGGGGGGGGGGGGCCGGGUUGUGGGGGGUGUUGGGGGGGGGAACGGGGGGCUAACUCGUGAGGCACCGGGCCGGGGCGUUGGGAGAAGUUCCAGCAGGUGGGGAGACGCCGCAAAGGGAGAAACUGCCGAGUUGAGGGGACGAGAGUGUAUCGGCGGUUGGGGAUGGACUCGCGGCGUAUCAGCUUGUUGGUGGGGUAGUGGCUUACCAAGGCUUUGACGGGUAGCCGGCCUGAGAGGGUGACCGGCCACAUUGGGACUGAGAUACGGCCCAGACUCCUACGGGAGGCAGCAGUGGGGAAUAUUGCACAAUGGGCGGAAGCCUGAUGCAGCAACGCCGCGUGCGGGAUGACGGCCUUCGGGUUGUAAACCGCUUUCGCCUGUGACGAAGCGUGAGUGACGGUAAUGGGUAAAGAAGCACCGGCUAACUACGUG
rnacentral:rRNA from 1 species